GCAGGUGAACCUGCGGAAGGAUCAUUAACACGUAUCCAACGUUAAACCCCCCUGUGAACUUUCAACGUGCUCUUGCAACCCGCAAAUAAACAGCAAUCCUGGUAAAUCAGUCGCGAAAGUUGUUAUUGAUUCAGGACCUCUGUUACGAUGUGAGAAGUUACAGUUACGAUCGAGCGGUAGAGUCAGUGGCAUGGCGUCCCCAAGCAGAAUCCAGAGAAUGAAAGGAUCACUGGCUGCGCAAGGAUAACGC
rnacentral:misc_RNA from 1 species